rnacentral:sRNA from 1 species
GCACCUGAAAAAUCAGGUGCCGGGAUUGGCGUCCUGAAAUUGUCAACGGCGAUGUAUGACGCGCCAGCGUCUUUUUU